GGGGCAUUACACGUGUCCUAGGCCGUGUCCUCCACGCGGUUGAGACACACGGCUGUGUUUUUACCCGUGUGUUUACUACCAUGCAUUCUGACCUCAAAAUUUUAGGUGCAGGGGACACAUGGCCAUAGCACACGCCCAUGAGGCUGACCGUGUGUCACACACGGCCUAGACACAUGCCCGUGUGUCUAUCCGUGUGGACCUUUUUGGAGGCUACAAAUCUAAGCCAAUGGUCGCC
rnacentral:lncRNA from 1 species